GUCGUGACUGCGUGCCUUUUGAAGAAUGAGCCUGCGAGUUUGCGGUAUGUUGCGAGGUUAACCCGUGUGGGGAAGCCGUAGCGAAAGCGAGUCCGAAUAGGGCGUUGAGUAGCGUGCCCAAGACCCGAAGCGGAGUGAUCUAGCCAUGGGCAGGUUGAAGCGGAGGUAAGACUUCGUGGAGGACCGAACCCACCAGGGUUGAAAACCUGGGGGAUGACCUGUGGUUAGGGGUGAAAGGCCAAUCAAACUCCGUGAUAGCUGGUUCUCCCCGAAAUGCAUUUAGGUGCAGCGUCGUGUGUUUCUUGCCGGAGGUAGAGCACUGGAUAGGCGAUGGGCCCUACCGGGUUACUGACCUUAGCCAAACUCCGAAUGCCGGUAAGUGAGAGCGCGGCAGUGAGACUGUGGGGGAUAAGCUCCAUGGUCGAGAGGGAAACAGCCCAGAGCAUCGACUAAGGCCCCUAAGCGUGUGCUAAGUGGGAAAGGAUGUGGAGUCGCAGAGACAACCAGGAGGUUGGCUUAGAAGCAGCCACCCUUGAAAGAGUGCGUAAUAGCUCACUGGUCAAGUGAUUCCGCGCCGACAAUGUAGCGGGGCUCAAGCACACCGCCGAAGUCGUGUCAUUGCGAUAUUACCCCCAACGGGGAUCGUGAUGGGUAGGGGAGCGUCGUGUGCCGGGUGAAGCAGCCGCGGAAGCGAGUUGUGGACGGUUCACGAGUGAGAAUGCAGGCAUGAGUAGCGAUACACACGUGGGAAACGUGUGCGCCGAUUGACUAAGGGUUCCUGGGUCAAGCUGAUCUGCCCAGGGUAAGUCGGGACCUAAGGCGAGGCCGACAGGCGUAGUCGAUGGACAACCGGUUGAUAUUCCGGUACCCGCUUUGAAACGCCCAGUAUCGAAUCCAUUAAUGCUAAGGCCGUGAAGCCGGCCUGGAGUCUUCGGACAAAGGGACGUGGUGGAGCCGCCGAUCCAAGGUGGUAGUAGGUAAGCGAUGGGGUGACGCAGGAAGGUAGUCCAGCCCGGGCGGUGGUUGUCCCGGGGUAAGGGUGUAGGCCGUGUGGUAGGUAAAUCCGUCACACGUUAAGGCUGAGACCUGAUGCCGAGCCGAUUGUGGUGAAGUGGAUGAUCCUAUGCUGUCGAGAAAAGCCUCUAGCGAGUUUCAUGGCGGCCCGUACCCUAAACCGACUCAGGUGGUCAGGUAGAGAAUACCGAGGCGUUCGGGUGAACUAUGGUUAAGGAACUCGGCAAAAUGCCCCCGUAACUUCGGGAGAAGGGGGGCCAUUUCCGGUGAUGAGACUUGCUCUCUGAGCUGGGGGUGGCCGCAGAGACCAGCGAGAAGCGACUGUUUACUAAAAACACAGGUCCGUGCGAAGCCGUAAGGCGAUGUAUACGGACUGACGCCUGCCCGGUGCUGGAACGUUAAGGGGACCGGUUAGUCAUGAUUCGUCAUGGCGAAGCUGAGAACUUAAGCGCCAGUAAACGGCGGUGGUAACUAUAACCAUCCUAAGGUAGCGAAAUUCCUUGUCGGGUAAGUUCCGACCUGCACGAAUGGCGUAACGACUUCUCGACUGUCUCAACCAUAGGCCCGGUGAAAUUGCAUUACGAGUAAAGAUGCUCGUUUCGCGCAGCAGGACGGAAAGACCCCGGGACCUUUACUAUAGCUUGAUAUUGGUGUUCGGUUCGGCUUGUGUAGGAUAGGUGGGAGACUGUGAAGCGGCCACGCCAGUGGUUGUGGAGUCAUUGUUGAAAUACCACUCUGGUCGUGCUGGAUGUCUAACCUGGGUCCGUGAUCCGGAUCAGGGACAGUGUCUGGUGGGUAGUUUAACUGGGGCGGUUGCCUCCUAAAGAGUAACGGAGGCGCCCAAAGGUUCCCUCAGCCUGGUUGGCAAUCAGGUGUUGAGUGUAAGUGCACAAGGGAGCUUGACUGUGAGACUGACGGGUCGAGCAGGUACGAAAGUAGGGACUAGUGAUCCGGCGGUGGCUUGUGGAAGCGCCGUCGCUCAACGGAUAAAAGGUACCCCGGGGAUAACAGGCUGAUCUUCCCCAAGAGUCCAUAUCGACGGGAUGGUUUGGCACCUCGAUGUCGGCUCGUCGCAUCCUGGGGCUGGAGUCGGUCCCAAGGGUUGGGCUGUUCGCCCAUUAAAGCGGUACGCGAGCUGGGUUUAGAACGUCGUGAGACAGUUCGGUCCCUAUCCGCUGUGCGCGUAGGAGUCUUGAGAAGGGCUGUCCCUAGUACGAGAGGACCGGGACGGACGAACCUCUGGUGUGCCAGUUGUCCUGCCAAGGGCAUGGCUGGUUGGCUACGUUCGGAAAGGAUAACCGCUGAAAGCAUCUAAGCGGGAAGCCUGCUUCGAGAUGAGGACUCCCACCCCCUUGA
rnacentral:rRNA from 1 species